AGAGUUUGAUCCGUGGCUCGAGGACGAACGCUGGCGGCGUGCUUAACACAUGCAAGUCGAACGAGACGAUUGAAAGCUUGCUUUGAAAGUCGAGUGGCAAACGGGUGAGUAACGCGUAGACAACCUGCCGCAAAGAUGGGGACAACAGUCCGAAAGGACUGCUAAUACCGAAUGUUGUAUUAUUUCCGCAUGGAGAUGAUAUUAAAGAUGGCCUCUACUUGUAAGCUAUCGCUUUGUGAUGGGUCUGCGUCUGAUUAGCUAGUUGGUGGGGUAACGGCCCACCAAGGCGACGAUCAGUAGCCGGUCUGAGAGGAUGAACGGCCACAUUGGAACUGAGACACGGUCCAGACUCC
rnacentral:rRNA from 1 species